rnacentral:lncRNA from 1 species
UCCAUCGUAGUUAUUCCUGCACACUCAAAACAAAAACUUCGAUCGAGACAAUUAAUCCUAAGCAAUUAACCAAGUUGUCCGGCAUGUCAUUGGUCCCUCGACGCUUCGUCCGAUUCUUCGGCGCAUCGUCCUUUCCUACAGCCUAUUGCCCAAUCGGCCAGUUGACUCCGCAACUCCGAUAUCCUUGGCACAAUACCCGCUCUUCUUGGCCCGAUGCCCAAGUCCACGACCCGAAGCCUUCUG